rnacentral:rRNA from 1 species
GAUGAACGCUGGCGGCGUGCCUAAUACAUGCAGGUCGAACGCUGGAACUCUAGCUUGCUAGAUUGAAGGAGUGGCGAACGGGUGAGUAAUACAUAAGCAACCUACCCACGAAGACUGGGAUAAUCUCUGGAAACGGGGACUAAUACCGGAUAGGUAAUCGGAAGGCAUCUUCUGAUUAUUAAAGGUUAAAAACACUGGUGGAUGGGCUUAUGGCGCAUUAGUUAGUUGGUGAGGUAACGGCCCACCAAGACGAUGAUGCGUAGCCGGCCUGAGAGGGUGAACGGCCACAUUGGGACUGAGACACGGCCCAGACUCCUACGGGAGGCAGCAGUAGGGAAUGUUCGGCAAUGGGGGAAACCCUGACCGAGCAACGCCGCGUGAGUGAUGACGGCCUUCGGGUUGUAAAGCUCUGUUGUAAGGGAAGAACGGUAGAUAGAGAAUAUCUAAAUGACGGUACCUGACCAGAAAGCCACGGCUAACUACGUG